GGGAUCUGCCGCUUGAUUUAUCAUCAAAGUUUUGCCCAGGCUCGGAUUUUUAAAGCGGUACCCGCAACUUCUCCCGGCCCGAGAGCGCAAGUUGGGGCGAGAUGGGGUGGAGGAAGCCACCCUAGGGACCCGAUUCCUGCCAAGCUUAACACUACUGGUUUCAGGAACUGAAAUGCUCUCCAGUGGGAUAAAGAGGAAAACCAAUCGACCAGACCCAGCGCGCUCAAAAGGGACUCCUCAACUUUGCUAGCUGGGCGGUGCCGAGGCAUUGUUCCGGGCACAGCCCUACCCGCCGCGGUUUCAGCACCUCAAAGGAGGACAGCGUCCACCCCGACACCCAUCUUUUCAACCUCACCCACCGCACUUCUCGGACUCUUAGAUGGGAGGGUUCAGCACCAUGGACAGACCUUCUGAUUGCCUCCCUCGCCCCCGCCGAAUGAGAGUCAGAGCCAGAGAAGGCCCACAGCCCUCUCCAGAACACACACAGGAGGAUCCAGCAUUGUGGACAUCACCCCAACUUUGAGAAUAAGACCGCAGCCCACGAGGCUCCGCCGUCCCUGGGAUCCUCGAGGCAAGAACACUGGAGUGGGUUGCCAUUUCCUUCUCCAAUGCAUGAAAGGGAAAAGUGAAAGGGAAGUUGCUCAGUCAUGUCUGACUCUUCGCGACCCCAUGGACUGCAGCCUACCAGGCUCCUCCGCCCAUGGGGUUUUCCAGAUAAGGAAACCGAAGCUCAGAGAGUUGAAGUAACCUGUUCAACGUUGCAUGCAGAGGCGGGGCAAAGGCUGAAUGUGAAAGGACGAAUCCUCAGCCCCCUAUUCCUCCUCUGUGAGAUUUUGCCUCUUUUCUGCUUUGCGAUCCAAGUGCAGACUGCAGACACUGGAAGCUAAAAGCCUACAGGAGGCCCAAGGUUUACGAAAACCGAAAACCGUUCCAGGAAACAAUCUCUAGGAAUUCGCUAGGGCGGGCGGCUGUUGUCCCUCGUCUCACUCUGGGAAUGCUCCAGGAGACAGUAAGCUUCCCAUCCCUGGAGACAAUUAAACAAGCAUCUAGUGGUCACGUGGAUGCCAGAAGGCAAAUAUCACAGCUAUUUCCACCACCCAAAUGAGGCUCAGAAGGUGAAUAUCAUGUUAGGUAUUUCAGUCAGGAAAGGCACUCUUUUUAAAGUUUGCCCCAAGCAGUGGAACUUGCACUGUCCCCUCCCCCUGAUGCAAGCCCACUGGAGAGUCCCCGGCCUCCCCUUAACUCAAGGAGGCCGCCCUCCCCUUCCUCCUUGAGAGGUGUCACUUGAGCACCACGGCUCUGUCAGUGGUAACAGCCGUAAGAUUUGUCCUUUUAAUCCAGAAUCAAUAACAAAUUUCAUUUAAAAAUAAAUUAAACCAGGCAUUGGAAAUCAUUCACUGUGUGGGACAGGGCCCUCUAUAGUGCUGUCUAAAUGGCUUCCUUCUGCUCAUCUAUCAAUGCCAAGAGGGGGGAAAUACCUAAGCCGCCUGAUUCAUGGAGAAACUACUUGAAUGUAUCAGUUCCUAACAAUGAGCAAUUGAGCCCUGAGUUGCACCUUUUAACACACCAAUAACAUGUUGAGCACGGCUUCAUGAGAGCUUAUCGGAGACCCCACGGUCGCUGGCUUGGAGGGAGCCCAUUUAUAAGGGGGAACAAUGGCUUCAGUAUGUAGCCACCUAAUUUCCAGAAUGCAUUACUGAGCUCAGAGGAGCAAUGGAAUUCUAUUAAACUCUUAUCUGCCAUGGGAG
ensembl:lncRNA